GGAUGUGGCUCAGUAGUAGAGUAAUUGCCUGGCAUGCACAAGGCUCUGGGUUCCAUUCCUAGCACCACCA
rnacentral:tRNA from 1 species